GAUGAACGCUAGCGACAGGCCUAACACAUGCAAGUCGAGGGGUAGCAGGAUGUAGCAAUACAUUGCUGACGACCGGCGCACGGGUGAGUAACACGUAUGCAACCUACCUUCUACAGGGGGAUAGCCCGGAGAAAUUCGGAUUAAUACCCCAUAAUGCAGGGCUACCGCAUGGUAAUAUUUGCUAAAGAUUAAUCGGUAGAAGAUGGGCAUGCGUUCCAUUAG
rnacentral:rRNA from 1 species